UACAGAGGGUGCGAGCGUUUGUCCGGAAUCACUGGGCGUAAAGGGCGCGUAGGUGGUUGGGUAAGUUUGAUGUGAAAGCUCAGGGCUUAACCCUGAAAUGGCAUUGAAUACUACUUAACUGGAGGUUUGGAGGGGGGACUGGAAUUCUUGGUGUAGCAGUGAAAUGCGCAGAUAUCGGGAGGAACACCGGUGGCGAAGGCGGUUCUCUGGGCCUGUACUGACGCUGAGGAGCGAAAGUGUGGGGAGCGAACAGG
rnacentral:rRNA from 1 species